rnacentral:lncRNA from 1 species
CUUCAAUCUUUGUGUGGGUUGCCCCGUGUAGGUUUCUUGGCUCUGAGUCUUUCGAGUAGGGAGGCCUUCAUCCACCGGGCCUCACGGGGCCUACCCUUGCGGCACAAUCACAGAGCUCUCUGUCAUUGCCCCUGUGUGGUUGAGUGAGGUUGUGUGUGUGUGUGUGUGGGGGGGUGCGACAUUCGUGUUUGGCUUACAAUAACUACUCGGCGUUGCUUCUACGGUGGCUGUGGCUCGACCCCUGGCCUGGGAACUUCCAUAUGCCGCAGGUGCGGCCACUUGUUUUGCGCUCCCGCUCGCCUCCCCGGCCCGCCCCGGGCCCUUUCGCCUCGCCUUUUGCCCCGGCUCGCCCGCUGCCUUCCCCUGCCUCUCCUGAGCCCACCUCCCGCGCCCCGCACCCCCGACACCCCUCGCCCCGCACCCCACUCACACAUGCGCUCCCACGUGCCCCCCCGCAACCCUCACCCACGCUCUCAGACCUGGCAAUGCUUUCUCUAGCCUCAAAGCGACCGACCCACAACGGCCUCCACCUGCCCUAAGUGCUGCUGCCUGAGCUUGCUUGUGCGUUUACUGCUAUCCCUCCCUACCUACCCGUAGCCUUCUGUGCCUUGAUCCACAGUUGGGGAAGUAACCCAAAAUGGUAUCUACUCCUAGUCUCAAACGUUAUUGACUCUGCAGUUAUCAUAUCAGGUUAUGUUCCCCUGAAGGCUUUACCAUUAGUGCUUUUCACCCAGAAUCCCUGCUCCUAUUCCAUUCCUCAGAUUUUCUUCCUCUUUUCUUUCCUUCCUCUGCCACAGGCUUCCUCCAGUUGGUCAGUCUCUUCCUUCCAGUGAAAUGCCUCUGAAUUGUCGUUUUGUAUCUUCUUGCUCUGUCUGCCCUUUUCCCCAAACACAGGAAAGAUUUCGAGGCCCAUUCCUGGGAAAGAGGCCAGAGGGAGGGGAUUGUGUUAGAGGUGAAGAAAGCCUAGUGUUUAAGAAAAGUGUUUAAUAAAAUGCUUCCAUCCAACCAAUAUGUUACCCCCUCGUCCCUCUGUAAGGUAACAGAUUUAGGCUCUUCUCCAAGAGUUCCAGGAGUUUUUCUAUUUGUUUGGUUGUUUAGUUUCUCUUCCUUUGUAGGGUUGUUGGUUUGUUUGUUGUUUCGUUGUCAGGUGGCUAGUAAUGACCGAAUUGUGUUAGAAGCACAGCAUGUGAGAAUGGCACCUGAGCUUAGAGGUGUUGGAUCUUUCCGCUUUGUUCUCAUUCCUGUCACUGGAUGUCUGUGGCUUUUGUUUAAACUCUAGGUACUGUAGACUGUCUCCACUUGAGGGGCCCUUUGUAAAGGAUCUGGCGCCGCUGAUUUCCUAGGGACCUCAUGGAUGGUAGGACCCCAUCCUCUAGGGAGCUGAGAGAGUAUCCCCUAGAUAGGAAGUAAGGAAACUGAGCACAUCCCCCCUGCCCUGCUGCCUCNAACCCCCCCCCCCCCCCGCCACAAUCCUGGUUUUGGAGCCCAAGCUGUCAAAUUCAUUCCUUUUUCUUUUUCUUUCUUUCUUUUUUUUUUUUGUGUGUGUCUUUUUGCCAUUUCUUGGGCCUUUCCUGUGGCAUAUGGAGGCUCCCAGGCUAGGGGUCUAAUCGGAACUGUAGCCACCGGCCUACACCAGAGCCACAGCAACGCGGGAUCCGAUCCGCGUCUGCAACCUACACCACAGCUCACAGCACCACAGCUCACAGCAACGCCGGAUCGUUAACCCACUGAGCAGGGGCAGGGACCGAACCGGCAACCUCAUGGUUCCUAGUCGGAUUUGUUAACCACUGCGCCACGAUGGNUUUUUUUUUGUCUUUUUGCUAUUUCUUUGGGCCGCUCCCAAGGCAUAUGGAGGUUCCCAGGCCAGGGGUCGAAACGGAGCUGUAGCCACUGGCCUACGCCAGAGCCACAGCAACGCGGGAUCCGUAGAGACUUUCUAUACACUAGGAACAUUUGGAGCCUCUCAGGAGUAGGAAACCCCAUUUGCAGCAGCGUGGAAGAUCCAAAAUACUUUGCGAUCAAUUUAAGGAGAUAUUCAAAAACCUAUAGUAAUGAAUAUUUGAAAUGUACUCUACCUUAAUCAGAGUAACACUUAAGCAGUAUUAGAGUUGGUUCAAUGCCUCCAAUGAGUUCAUUACUUGUUAUAACAAGGUCUUUCAUACCCUUCCAAACAGGCCAAGAAUUUCAUGAGAAUUUUGGGGUAGGAAGGGGUCUUGUGUAAAAAUGAACAUUUGUAGUUGAUACUCUCUUUCUGAAUCUUCUUUGUCUAUGUAGUAUUAGGCAGGUCUUGUUUUCUUCUGCUUUCAUGAAGAUUUUUCCUUUGUGAAGUGUUCUGAAAGAAUUGUGUAUACUUGUCUGAUUGUCUGCUUUCAUCUUCUGAAUGUAAAUGCUGAUAAGACAAGGAAUUUGCUGGCUUUGCCACUACAACAGGACGAACACUUGGAUGAAUGAUAGAAUGAAUAAGAAAACUCCUGGGUAUAAUUCUCCUUUGCAGAUUACCACCUUUGGCUAACAGAGAAUGAGUUCAAAAUUCAGAUUAGAGGUCCUAUGAAUAAUAAUUAUGCCGUUUCUUUGUAAGGCAGUAUCUCCUGAGAUUGACCUUAGCAACUCCCAAUGCUGGGUGUGGGCCUCAUAUGUCACUAGGGCUCAGAUUGCACAAAUGACUCACCAAAAUCACAUAGACACCACACACACACACACACACACACCCCUACCCCUGAGGCCUCAAAUCAAGGUCUUUGUCUCCAGAAUAUAUAUGCCAAGAGGACACAUGCCUCUGUGUCCUAUCCGCCAGUAUACUCUGGAUAAAUAAUAUGCAUAUAUUUGUUGAAGAAAUAACUGAAGAAACUCCUGGAUACAAUUCUCUUUCUGGGACUAGGGCAAAUUCUAAAACAUAGCAGCUUCUAGCCUCUUGCCCUCUCUGGCUUGUCUGUUCUGGCAUCAGGAGAGGCCAGUGCUUUGCUCCUUCUCCCCUCCCCCCGACCCCUUCCCUGGAGCCUGGGUCCCCCAGCCUCUAGUCCAGGAGCUGCACCCUCAGCCCAGGCAGACUCUUCUCCCAGCUUCCGCCAAGGCUUCACAGGGACUAAGUUUCGGCUUCUUCAGCUUGGUGUCAGAAACCUGUUAGAAACUUGCAGAGUCUCAGCUCCCAGUGGGGCCGAACCAGAAGCCACAUUUGAGCACUGUCCCGGGGUCCCAUUAGCAUUUGAGGGCUCUGAGCUGCCUUUAUCAAGCAUUCCGAUUUCUAUUUUGCUGGGGAAAUACCUGGGCCUUGGGGCCCCAUCAGCCUACUGGUCCUCCUGAAGCACUGCGAUCUCUUACUGGCGGUUUUGAGAGCUGGCUUUGGAAAGAGAACCAACGUCAGGAUCCUGUGAGUCACCCACUUGGCAAACAUUUAUUAAGCACUUAUGAUGUGCAAGGCCCAUGACAGGUCCUGAGGACACAAACAUGAUUAACACAGUGUAUAUCUCCCCUGCUGAAAAAAGCAGAGACACAGACUCCAUAGGUUGAUAAUAAAUGCUAGUCAGAAAGAGCACUUCUGGUAACAAAGUGUGAUGAUGUUGAAUAGGGAUGCGGGUGUUUAGAAAGAGUGAUUCAGGAAGUUCUCGCAGAGGAGUAGGUGUUUUUUCUAAGUCCCAGAGGUGGAAUGAGGAGCCAGCUCUGUUCUGCAUUGCGUUGAAGUGGAGGAGAGGGUGGGGCAGGGUGAGCAAAUGAUUUUUCACCUGAGGAAAAACACAAGUAUGUAGACCCAGCCCCAGGAAAGACGACUUGCACUGGACGAAGGAGAGAGGUCUGCUUGUGGCUUGAGGGCACAAUGAAGAGGGAGAGACAAAAAAGAUGGAAUUCUCUGUCUUGGCACAACGGGAACCAGUCCAACUAGUAUCCAUGAGGAUGAGGGUUGGAUCCCUGGCCUUGCUUAGUGGAUCAGGGAUCUGGUGUUUCUGUGAGCUGCGGCUCAGAUUUGGUCCCUGGCCUGGGAACUUACCUGUGCUGAGGGUGCAGCCC